rnacentral:rRNA from 1 species
GUCUACAGUCAUACCACCCUGAAUGUGCCUGAUCUUACCUGAUCUCAGAAGCUAAGCAGGGUUAGGCCUGGUUAGUACUUGGAGGGGAGAAAGUAUAGUACUCGCUGCACCACUGUAUAUC